CCAGAGCCUGCCAAAACAGAUCGAGC
rnacentral:piRNA from 1 species